rnacentral:miRNA from 1 species
CCUUUGUGUGUGUGUGUGUGUAUGUAUAUAUGUAUAUGUGUGUAUACAUAUAUACAUAUAUACACACAUAUACAUACAUACAUACAUACACACACACACACAUAUA